rnacentral:siRNA from 1 species
CAAGGAAGCUGAUUGGCGG